CUUUUGUGUAAACACAGUGGUCUGUCGGGUUCUGAAUAAAGUUGUCAUCUACUAGGCAGGUGUGGAGCAUCUCAUUCCAAUUUCGCCCCUACUGCUUCAGGCCGUAGAUUGACUUCUCUAGUUUACACACCAGCUCAUCUCCCUCCUUUUUGUAACCUUCAGGUUGUUCCAUUUAGAUGUCUCGAUCAAUCGGGGCAUGUAGGUAAGCGGUUUUCACAUCCAUUUGAUGCAGAAUCAAAUCGUCUUGGGCUGCCUUCUGCAUCACUAUACGAAUACUUGUCAGAUUUGCUGUUGGUGAGAAUGUCUCGCCAUAAUCUAUCCCUGCUCUCUGGCUGUAUCCUUUCGCUACAAACCUAGCUUUGUACUGGUCGUUUCCGUCAAUGUCUCCCUUGAUCGAAUAUACCCAUUUUCCUCCCACUGUCUUCCUGCCCUCUGGUAGCUUAGUCAGGGUAAAGGUUUGCUUGUCCUCUAGGGACCUCAUCUCCUCGUCCAUUGCUUUCUUCCACUUUCCUGACUCAGUUGAUGUCAUGGCCUCUUUAAAGGUCAGAGGCACACCACAAACUGCUCGGUAGCAAUAAUCGACACUAGUGAGCGUACUGUCGUCAUCAGCAUCUUCCAGAGAAUAAUCUCUUAGAUACCCCGGGGCUUCACGCUCUCUGGUAGGGUAUCUCCCACUGUCGUGUGGUAUCUCCCUAGGAUGCUUCUCGCGGUCGUCCUCUGAUGCGGAUUGUGGACCGUCAGUCAAUACAUCGGUGUUCGGUACGCUAGGCUGUGAAGUCUCUACUCCCUUAUCGCAACCCCCUUUGGGAUCCAGUCCUAGCUCCUGAGUCUGAGUCUCAUUUUCACAGGUUGUCUUGGUGACAAACUUUACCAGCCUGUGCUUCUGUACUUUUCCUUUACCCGGGUAUAUCGUUGAUGAUGUGGGACGACGCGCCCGUGUCCACGAUCUUUUCCCUUCUCUGGGUCUGCAGCAUUUUCCCUGAGAGACUGGCAUCUUCUGUUUGUGCCCUGAAGGUGCGGUCUUCUCCUCCCGCGGCUCCCCGGUCGCCGUCUGGUUCACAACCGGGCCUACGGCCACCGCCGUCAUCUUGUACACACGCACACCGGGCGCCCCGCUCACGCUCCUUCUUUGUGCACGCUUUGUCGGUGUGCCCCCUGCUUCUGCAAAAACUGCACCAAACUUUCUCUGUGCAGUCAUCCCUUCUGUGGCCCUUUUUCCUCGGCGCCGCUUGCGCCCUCAGCACCCUUUCUCCUGCCUCUUCUAGGACUGGGAGUGCGUCUUCUGAAGCCUCAAAAUUUCUUAACUUUGCCUUGAACUCUCCCAGUGUCAUGUCAGCUGAACCAUGCGUCACCAUCAGUGUGAACGGCUUGUACUUCUCCGGUAAUCCCCUCAUGAUCAUCGCCAUCAUCAGUCCCUCGCUCGGUGCUUCACCUGCACUCCUGAGUGCUGUAAUGAUCUGCUCAGCUCUGAUGAUGUAUUUGUUUACGGUCUCGUUGUCAGCUUUCUUCAGCGCUGUCAUUGUUAUGUACAGGGAAACAAUCUGGGGCCUACCUUUUCCGGUGUAGUGUUCUUUUAACACUUUGAGACUCUCUCGGCCCUUGUCCUUUGUGUCUCUGAAUAUCAGCCCCAAGCUUGUAUUGUCAAGCAGCGGCGCCAAUGCACAGUAGGCGUCCGCAUUCAGCUUAUCAUCUUUAGCCCUGUCUUCCUCCGACAGUGGUUCAGCGGGCUCUGUCAGGAUCGUCUCCUUCAGCCCCACCCCGUGCAUGCAGCACAGCAUCCUCUCUUCCCAGAGCUCAUACUCUUCUGCCCUCCCGUCAAAAGUGGGCCACUGGCUCUUGCUUCGGUUUGCCAUGGCUGUUUGUAGUUCGGUUUAGCUCCCGUUUAUUUAGCCUAGCUUUAGCUUCCCGGUUCUCCCGAUGCUAAACUAACUCUUUUGGAUACUUAUGUAUGCUAGCGCGGUCAUGCUAGCUAUCGACACACAAGUCCGUCAAACUUUGGAAUCAUUCCCGGUUCCUGGGCCCAUAACCUGUUGAUAGGUAGGCUUACUUCUUCGGCCUACCUGCGCGGCGGAACAAUGAUAUUCAGAGAAUGAACGGACGUCCAGGCGUUUAUCUCUUUAGCCAUCCGACUCGUGGCAUUGUUUAAUGCAAGCACAACAUGCUCAACUGCCCGCUCACGGGAGAGACGGGUACACACAGGGAAGGGGAGGGAACACUGCCCUUAUAUGGAAGUGGUGCUCUUGAUAUCACGACUCAGGAAACAGUUACAUGCAUCCAUACACUCUUAACCCUUAGAUGCACGAGUGACUGGACCCUACACUCUUCCAUAAGUGGGUCAAAAAUGACCCAUAUUAGAAUCUAUGUGUUUUUAUGCCAUUUUUUGUCAUUUUGGUUAAGAAUAAUCACUAAUAUAAUAUUUAGUAUUAUAUUUAGGACCACAGAAGAAUGAUUUCAUGUCUGAACUGCAUUCAGUGAAGUCUCAUCACUGAAUGCAGUUCAGACAAACUACCUGUUUCUGGCUGUGAUCAUUGCACACAGGUACAUUGCAUUUCCCACACCUAUUGUUGACUUUGCGAUCUUUGUUACUUGGGCAGAUCUGACACCUCUUUAUCUUUGGUUAGCCCUGUCUGCUUCCUUCCUUUGGCUGGGUUGUGGCUUUUGUCACCCCACACCUUUCCAUUGCUUCAAGAAUUGGGUUUGCAGUUGGGGGCAGCCUUCCAGGAGACUCCUCAUGUGUGGUGUGACAAGCUCCUUUGAGAGCUCUUUGAGGAAGAGCCGUCGUGCAUUGAAUUCUGGGUGCUGAGCCGUGAAAAAGGUGUAGGCAUUCAGGGUGGCAAUGUCAAUUAUGUUGUACCACAGCACCAUGGGCCACCUCUGUGUUUGGCACUUGCAGGUGUAGGUGCCAACCAUCUGGUCAGUGGUGUCUACACCUCCUUUCGUCUUGUUGUAAUAUGUGAUCACUUCUGUUUUUUUCUUUCUGCUAUUUUCAUCCUCUUUGUCGUGGUGCAUCGUGCUUAGGAGCACAACCGCUUUUCCUUUCUUUCUGACAAAGCUGACCAUGGUAAGGCUGUCGUUGAAUCCAAACUCUUUGCUGUGAACCUCCCUGGACUUGGAAGGCUUCAUCAGAGGAGGGAUGUCUGGCUUGUUCUGACGUAGAGUCCCCACAAUAGUGGGAUCCUUCUCCAGGAGAUGCUGCGCAAGAGGCACACUGGUGAAAAAGUUAUCCAUGGUGAUGUUGCGACCUGUGUUUCUAAAUCUACUACACAACUGCUGGACAAUGUUUUCCCCCAGAUUCUUCUGAACUUCUUCCCCUGGUUGUCUCCCCGUGUAAACUAUACCAUCUAUUGCAUAGGGGAUGCGUGCAUCACAAACCCAGAAGAUCUUUAGGCCGUAUUUGGCGGGCUUGCUUGGCAUGUACUAUAGAAACUUGCACCUACCCCUGAAUGGCACAAGCUGUUCGAAAACAAUCUUCCUGAGGGUUGACACUUCUGAUAUAGUCUGUGUGGUCCACAGUCAAAUGUAUUCCUGACAGCCACAGUUGAUAAGAAUCAAAGGUUCCCAUUGGAUUCCAUAGAAAAUGCAUGCGGGUCAUUUUUGACCCAAUUAUGGAAGCUUGGGGUAGUAAUACAAAAACUACAAUUUCUUAAAAUGUAUAACGGGUAAGUUAAAAAUGUAAAUGGAAUUAUAUCAAAAACAUGUUUUUUGAGGAAUACCUGGAAUAUGAAAUGAUAACAAUUUUUCAUUACGAAGAUAUUUCAAGAAAACAACCUCAUCGGGUCAUUUUUGACCCACUUGUGCAUCUAAGGGUUAACAGUUAUUAAUAAAUGCUCUGCUCAGACUCAUGGGAGACGUGCUUGUUUCCUGCCGUUGGCAGCAUUUUGGAUAAGUUGCAGUCUAGGAUGUUUCCCUUACUGAUUACUACAGAGCAUUGCAGUAGGCUAGUCUUGUAGAGAUAAAAGCAUCAACAACCUUGUCUACAUGUCAGCCUUUUUUACUUUUUUCAUUAUUUUUCCUCAGGGUCUGUAAGCAUCAUAAAAGUUUCCUAAAGUCUGUACGUAAUGGCUCAAUAUUCACCAAGUCUCACAUCCCUCUGACAAAAUGGCUUGAGUUCAUGCACAGAUUUGCCCAAGGUUUGCAAUUGAAGCAACUUGCCAUGAUCAGUGACAGGAUAGCAGCAAGCUCCAGGACAUUGACAAGAAUGGCAAAAGUGUGCAUUGCUGCUGUGAAGCGACUGAGGAAAAGAUGUAUGAGGUUUGGUGGUCGUCAUCGAUUCGUUGUUAUUGACGAGAGCAAAUUUGCCCACAAACGAAAGUACCAUCGUGGUCGAUGUGGCAACACUUGGCGCCGUGAACGGCGGUGGGUCUUUGGGAUGUUGGAGGUUGAUAGGAAGUCCAGAAGACCCAUUCUGAGACUCGUCAGGGAUCGCAGAAGGAAGACACUUAUAGGUCAUAUUACACGCCAUGUCAGACCCAGAACAUCCAUCCUCAGUGAUGAAUGGCGUGCCUACAAAGGGCAACUUGCCCAGUAUGGGUAUGAUCAUUAUUCGGUCUGCCAUAAAAACAACUUUGUGGACCGAGAGACUGGUACUCAUACUCAUAUAUACGCAUAUUGAGCGUGCAUGGCAAAGCUACAAGCUGGAAGUAUGGCGUCACAGAGGGAAUCGUACUCCUGAAUCACUCAAGCUUCAUCUUAAGAUGAUAGAGUGGCACCACUGGUUGGGUGUACACCAUUAAAAUGGUGUGUUGGGAAGACUUAUGCAUCUAUGUUGUGGCGUUAAACUCAUUAUAUGUUCUCCUGAGCAGAUCCUUGCUUGUGUUUUACAAACUGUCACUGGAUGAACAUCACAACAAAAUGUUUUGUUUUGAAAUACAUAAAGGAAAAACUAUCUCUUGACUUGUCUGUUGCUUUUGUUAAGGUAUUAUUAUCAUCUGACAGUGUAAUAACACUUAAUAAUAUUUUAAUGAAACAUUCAAAUCGUUCCACUUUACUUGAAUUCAAAGAAAACAGUCAUGACACUUAUAAACUGCUUUGACUAUGUAAUUGCACAUGAUAUCUUUAAAAUAUCUACACAAUUGUAAUGGUUUUAUGACAGCGAAUGUCAAAACCAUC
ensembl:lncRNA